GGACACCACCCUUUCAAGGUGGCGACACGGGUUCGAAUCCCGUUGGGGACGCCA
rnacentral:tRNA from 1 species